GAUGAACGCUAGCGGCAGGCCUAACACAUGCAAGUCGAGGGGUAGAAGGAGCUUGCUCCUUUGAGACCGGCGCACGGGUGCGUAACGCGUAUGCAAGCUACCUUGUACAGGGGAAUAGCUCAGAGAAAUUUGGAUUAAUGCCCCAUAGUAUAUAACCUUCGCAUGUUGGUUAUAUUAAAGUUCCAACGGUACAAGAUGAGCAUGCGUCCCAUUAGUUAGUUGGUAAGGUAACGGCUUACCAAGACGAUGAUGGGUAGGGGUCGUGAGAGGAGGAUCCCCCAGAGGGUGACUGAGACACGGACGACAGUCCUACGGGCGGCAGCAGUGAGGAAUAUUGGUGAAUGGUCGCAAGACUGAUCCAGCCAUGCCGCGUGCAGCAAGACGGUCCUAGGGAUGGUAAACUGCUUUUAUACAGGAAGAAACCCUUCCACGUGUGGGAGAUUGACGGUACUGUAGGAAUAAGGAUCGGCUAACUCCGUG
rnacentral:rRNA from 1 species